rnacentral:rRNA from 6 species
AAAUUGAAGAGUUUGAUCAUGGCUCAGAUUGAACGCUGGCGGCAGGCCUAACACAUGCAAGUCGAACGGUAACAGAAAGCAGCUUGCUGCUUUGCUGACGAGUGGCGGACGGGUGAGUAAUGUCUGGGAAACUGCCUGAUGGAGGGGGAUAACUACUGGAAACGGUGGCUAAUACCGCAUAACGUCGCAAGACCAAAGAGGGGGACCUUCGGGCCUCUUGCCAUCAGAUGUGCCCAGAUGGGAUUAGCU